ACUUAUAUAAUAUAAUCAUUAUAUUUGAUUUCCAAUCAAAAAAUCUAAUUAAAUUUAGUAUAAGUA
rnacentral:tRNA from 1 species